rfam:Ovis aries breed Texel chromosome 9, whole genome shotgun sequence.
UCCCUGGUAGCUCAAAGGGUAAAGCGUCUGCCUACAAUGCAGGAGACCCAGGUUCAAUUCCUGGGUUGGGAA